CCGGAAGACACCUACCCUGGCCGGAAGACACGUACCCCCGAAGAUCGAGAAAGAGGCUGUCCGGGUAGUAUGUAGCAGUCACGUCAGACUGAGACACUUCUUGUUUACAGGAGACCAUAAAACCCCUGCCCCAUCCUCAUUUGGUGCUGAGGCCGUUUUAGGCCUCAGCCCGCCUGUACCCAGGCACUCAUUAAAACAGCGUGUUGCUCCACAGGGCCUCGUGUUGUCUGUUGGCACGCUCUUGGGCUUGGAACCGAUACAAGAACCUUACAAUGAGGUGGAAGAGAGAAGCACGGCAGGAUUGUGCACAAAGUCUUGUCUGUUGUGGAAUGGAGUUUGGACCUUUCCCACCACUUUCAAGGAAGGGAAUGAAUUGACCUGGUUCACUUCCUAAGAAGGCUACUGUCUGUGUGGUGCUCCUAGAGGCAUGGGAGAGGAGUGAAGACAGAGAUGACCAAAGAAACACUUGGGGAAAGAAUGGAAGCGGCAUGUGUUAGCUUGGGAAAGGGAAACAUACCAGCAUCCGAGAUCUGGCCAUCAGGGAGAAUAACAAACACUGACGGUGGCAAGAUAAAGAGAAGAUUCGAAGAUGGCUCCAGGUCUCCAGCCAGGAAGAUGCUGAUGACAGCAGUGCCAGGAGUUGGAACAGGAAAUGGAAGCAGAUGCCUAAUGACUGCUUAGAGAAGGAAAGAAGGAAAACCCAAUGAAUCUAAAGAAUCGAGAUAGACUGAGUUCCCUACACCAAAUGGCUCACGUACGAAAGGAACCAUUGUCUUCUAAAAACUGACCCUUGCCUGAGCUUCUGUUGAUGUCAUCCCUGUCGGACCCUGGAUGAGAAAGAAAACGGGAACAACACGAGGAAGACGAGACAUCUUCCCCAGUGAGAAAUCUGCAAGUGUGCCAUUUUAGAGUUCGUGAUGUUGGGUGUAAUGCCAGCCAUUGUUACAAUAGGACAUUGCAUUUUAUACCUGAGAUCACUGACUGGUUGUCAUCAGAUAGAAUCAUGUAGUCCCCUGUUGUACAAACAGAACAUUCUGAUGACUAUUCAUUAAGUGAAAUAUAAUGGAACACUUAAAGUGACCCCAAGAUUAAACCCUUAUUUGGGGUUUGUCUAAUGACUAAUGGUCACUACCACCAGUUUGGAGACAUUACAACAAAACUCUGCUGCUGACAAAAAUAUUAACCAUAAAUGAUGAGAAAUUUUCAGUUGGGACCAAAAGAACAUCUGGAGGCCAUUAAAGCAGGAGAAUUUUCCCUCUAUGUCCUGAUUGCCAAACUUAGAACCAACCACCCAGAAACUGUGGCCCUCAUGCUAACUCAAUGUUUAUAUUUCAUUAAAAACGAUUUCAAGGGUUUGCGUCUUGCACUUCAUGGCCCAACUCCCAUGCAUACAGCUUUUCAUCUCACUGAGCAUGUCCUGGAGCAGACGAGCAUUCCUCACCUCUUGGUUUCAGAAGAAGGAGCUUCUUGGGGAAUAAUUCCAGGUUCUUUUUUUGCAUCUAUAAUCUAAUCAAGAAUCUGUAGGUCCUACCAUCCUAGGAUAAAUGAGGAGAAGAAAACAAGGAUGCAAGACCCAACAAUAAAAAUAUUAGAAUUUUAAAAAUACUAUACUAGAGUUUGCUUUUAAAUACCUAGUAAAGCUACAAUAAGUCAUGAAAUUGAUGAAUGGAAAGUUAUAUAAUUUCAGCUGUAUAUUAGUUGCUUUUUGCUGCUAUAACAAAUCACCACAAACUUUGUGACUUAAGACAGAUGUAGCCAGGCACGGUGGCUCAUGCCUGUAAUCCCAGCACUUUAGAAGGCUGAGGCAGGCGGAUCACCUGAGGUCAGGCAUUCAAGACCAGCCUGGCCAAGAUGAUGAAACCUCAUCUCUACUAUAAAUACAAAAAUUAGCUGGGCAUGGUGGCACCUAUAAUUCCAGCUACUCGGGCGGCUAAGGCAGGAGAAUCAGUGAGUCGAGAUCACACCACUGCACUCCAGCCUGGGCAACAGAGCAAGACUCCAUCUCAAAAAAGGAAAAAACAAAACAAGACGGAUAUAUUACCUUACAGUUCUUGAAGUUAGAAGUCCAACACAGGUUGCACUGGACUAAAAUCAGGGCAUCAGCUGGGCUGCAUUCCUUUCUGGAGGUUCUAGGGGGAAAUCUAUUUCUUUGUCUUUUAGCUCCUUGCAGCUGCUCCAUUCCUUUGUUUAUGGCCUAUUCUCCAUUUUCAAAGCCAGCAAAGUUGCAUCUUUUUAACUUUUCUUCUGCAGGAAUAUCGCCUUCCAACUAUGGCAAGAAAAGGUUGUCUGAUUUUGAAGAUUUGUGUGAUUCAUUUAGGCCCACUAAAAUAAUCCAAGAUAAUCUUCCCAUCUCAAGAUUCUUAAUUUAAUCACAUCUGCAAAGUUCCUUACAAAAGCAACAUAUUCACAAAUUGCAGGGAUUAGGACGUGGACAUCUUUGGGGGAUCCAUAUUCUGCCUAUCACAAGCUAUUUCCAGACUCCAAGUAGUAAAGAGAGUUGAAAUUCAAAAGCUCAUCAGUCACCUUUUUUCACUGUCAUUCCUUUUAGCAUUGAGUUUUACCUUAGGAAAUAGGACAGAUGUUUUCAAUACCUAAAACCUUAAACAUAGAACAAUUUUACAAAUGUCAUGAAACCAGAAUGAAUCUCUUGGCUGAAAGUUUUUCAAUUUUCAAAGAACUAAUUUUAAUUUUACUAGUAAAUUUGAAAUGGAUCCAGCUUGCCUGCUGUACUUUUAUAUGAGACACUAAAUCACGGUUCUUUGGAAACGGCAACAUUGAAAGCAUAAACUGUCAUUUUCCCAGAAUGUGUGGAAGGGCGGAUGUGGUUGAUAUAAUGUGUUUCUUAACACAUCUUUUCACCCUGAGCUCACUCCCACCAUGUGUUUAUAUGCACUGCAGGGCAUACAGCAGCCUUGGUCGGUGCACGUGUUCGCAAGUAGUUUCGCCUAUUUCUCAAGCAUAUAUUCCUACGGGUGCCUAGCAAAUGCCUUAGCUGAGGACAAGGUGUCCAAGGAAUAAGUACUUGCUGCUGUUUUCCAACACACACCACAAUUUCGGCUGAUUCUCAGCAAAGGGCAUUUCUUCUACUCUGGGAUCUGUGAAUUUGCUCAUGGUUUUUAACAACCUGCAGCCCGGCUCAAGUCAUAGUCUGGAUCCCAAUUUGAAAUUAGCUACAUUUUAUUAGUAAGUGUCCAGAAAUGGCUUGGCGGGUCAUUUUCUGUCUUGUAAAAUGUGGUUCUUAUUGGCAGUAACAUGCUUUUUGGGCACUGACUCAUGUUCUCUCUUCAAGCAAAUGAUUCCUUCAGGAGGCACACGCUAUAUCUAGGUUUGCUGUGUGCAACACAUCAGAUCCUGGCCAUAGGGUGACUUAGCAAAGGUACAGGCAGUUUAUUGCACACCUAUGUACACUUCAGGUCCCGUGCUAAGAGUUUUAAGGGCAUUAUCUCAUUUAACUUUACAAAACCCUGUAAGAUAGAAUCUGUUAAUCAUCCCAUUUUCAGACGAUGAAAGCAAGAUUUAAAAUGACUUGCACAACCUCAUGAAACCGACAUGCUUGGGCUGGACUAUAUUGAGACUAGGUGAGGUGAGUGAGCACUCAGUUUGGUGCAAAAUGUAAAGGAAAGCCAAAAGGCUCAGUAAGCAAGGUAAAGGAUAUUUCAGUGCAAUUUUUUAAAAAUGCAAAAUUAGUGAAAACAUUCCAUAGUAAAAUAUUAAAAUGUGAAAAAAAGACAGACUCUGACCUUAUACUGGGACUCAGCCUUAAUCACCUGACUCUAAUCCUGGCCCUGCUGAAUCCUGUCCCUUCCCUGGCUGGAAUUUGAACCCAAGGCUGGCUGAGGCUGAAGCCCAUGUUUGUACCCACUACUCUAUAGGAUGCAUCUGCCUCCUCUGCCAGCAGGGCAGCUGGGAGGUACUUAAAAUGCUUUUCAACAAUGAUGACAG
rnacentral:lncRNA from 10 species